GAGCACAGACCAUUUUGCUUUACUCAUACGAAAAUCAAUUACAGAGUCAUUACAAACCAACUCAACAAUGGAGGGACAUGCCCCAUCCAUAGAUAGAUUACUAAUUCCAAUCUGAUGUGCCUGGGUAGCAAGAACAUGAACAGAACCAGCGUGUUGCCUACCAAUUUUCAGGAACUUACACAGGUGAUAAACCAGGAACGAAGGUUACGAACACCAGCGUAGAUGUUGUAGCUUCUACAUGCUGGCGCUACAUCAGAGUUAGCAGAAUCAUAUUCGAACUCAAUGGGGUAGUGCAAUGAUCCAGCGUCAAGUGCAUAUCAUACUUCACAGUGCUCACUUCAGAGUUUUCAGCAUCGAAACAAUUCUCACGUUCCUGGUUAUCAGCAAAGAGGAUCUCGCCAUGGUGAUACCUUGAAAUUACACCUGCAGAAGCUACAAAUACAAGAUAUGAAAAUUCACAAUAAUGACAACGAACCUAAAAAUUGUUCUUAAUAUUGGCAACAUCCAAUAUAUUUAGUUACAUUGAAAGGACAUAGAAACAAUUACAAUUUAACUAUAUGAUCUUUUUUUGUAAGCAAGAAAUGGGGGCACAAAUGUUUCAAUCACCACGCUUAUUCUUUAUUUUUGGAUCCUACAAAUCAACAAUUUUCACACUGCCCUAUCAAAAAAGGGAUCACACCAUCAAUCUUAUUCUUCGUUAUUUAAUUGGAAAAGAAAAUCCGAAAUUGAAUCCCCUCGGGGACAUCCGAUAAAAUCCGAAAUUGGAGUACAAACCGUGCUGAUGCCUGCUAAGUGCCGAAUGUUGAUGUAGUGAUGCUACGGUCGGUGCUACUCACCUGCGCCAUCGCUCAGAGGCGUGAAGUGUGCCGCCUACCGGCGUGUGUUGUGUGCGGCUGUGGCUGCUGGAUUCAGGAGCCGCUGUGCCUGCUGAUGACGACUGGGCGAGGCCAGCACGAUAUCCGAAUGGCUGGGUCGUGCGCUGCGCCAGCGGCGUGGGAGUCCUAGGGUCGGCGUUCGGCGGGUCGGCGGGGACGGGAGAAGGUGCGGCGGCGCGGCGGCGCUCCGCUCGACAGUCUUUCUUUUUAUAGAACUCCGCUCGACAGCCAGAGGCAGGAGGACCUGGUUCGCGUUUUUGAGUGGGGCUCCAUACAGCUAGCCCAGUGGCAAGCUUCAAGGCCCGUCUGACCGAAUGUCAGCCCAAAUCCAUAUUUUAGCCUGCAGAAGGUCCAACGAUCUCCCCUCAAAUAAAAAACAAUUUUGUUAAAAAAUAAAAAAAA
rnacentral:lncRNA from 1 species